AAUAGAUCCACCAAGGGAAGGACGAGAGCCUUCGACCAAGGUUCGAAUUGAGCGUAGCGAAAUAACAGUGCGCGUAGCGCAUUGGCCCGCAGGGUGAGGAACGAAGUGACGAAUCAUCCUUCCCCCACCACCA
rfam:Xenorhabdus innexi strain HGB1681 (deposited as PTA-6826 in the American Type Culture Collection) genome assembly, scaffold: XIS1_scaffold1